CAAAUACUCCCUCCGUCCGGAAAUACUUGUCAUCAAAAUGGAUAAAAGGAAAUGUAUAUAGACGUAUUUUAGUUUUAGAUACAUCUCUUUUUAUCCAUUUUGAUGACAAGUAUUUUCGGACGGAGGGAGUAGAAA
rnacentral:pre_miRNA from 1 species